rnacentral:lncRNA from 1 species
UAGAAACAGGGCCUACUAGGAAACAAAGCAGAAUGUUCCAAGUUCCAAGUCAGGAGUUGUAGAAAAGAAUGCCACUUUCUGUUGGCUGAAGAAGGAUGAGAAAGUGAGGGACACAGAUAGAGCCACAUAAAGAAGUGUGGAAAGAAUUCAUGGAAGGCAAAGGAGCCAGGAUGAGUGUGUUAGCUCUUACUUUAGGAAGGAAAAUCCAGUGAAGAGUUUUUAUCAUGGGACCCAUGUCAUACUGCAGUGGAAAUUGGUCUGGCUCUGGCGUAGAGAGUCAAUCAGAAGAUCAGACUGAAUAGAAUGACUUCAUAAAGUGGCGACAGUGGCAAGCUAGGUGAGGAAAGCUCUGGAUUAAGAUAGGAAAGGGACAAUGGAGCUGGAGUAGGUCUUACCACCCUGAUGUGAUGGAGUUAGUUACUUAGAAUUCUUUCACUGAGUCAUGGUCUCCAUGGAGCUUCAGAACCUAGUGCAUGCAGGGCACAUGGUAAGUGCUUCAUACGUACCUGUUCAAAGAGAGCAAAGAAGAAAUUGAGAAGCAAAUUACUCUUACCAGUGUCCCGAUUCUGAAUUCAGGCUCAGAUUCAUUUAUUUUGACUGUAAAAUUCUCCUCAUCAGUGCUCACAAAGAGAGAUGACAGUAACUGCCUUCAGAGUCUGCACUGCAAGAAGACGAAGCAGUGGCAUGCAAAGCUAAUCCCAUUGGCCCCUACAUGCAGAAACUCAACAGGAAAUCCCAAGACAAAGCAUUAAGCCCUUGGCAGACUUAAUUUUCUCUGAUACAGCAAUGCCGAAGGCCAAGUGAUGAAAUCUUCAGCAAGAAUAUGUCAUCAUAUUGUUUCUGCCUAGUAAUAUAAUCGGUGUCACACCGUCUAGAAGAAUGAAUUGCUGAAAAUUUAUUUGCGUAAGAAACAGCAAAAAAAAAAAUACAAUGAAAUAAAAUAAAAACAAUUGUGUUAGUGACUUUUGAU